rnacentral:tRNA from 1 species
GACCCUUUCGUCUAGUCUGGCCAAGGACAUUACCUCUUCAAGGUAGUAACAUGGGUUCAAAUCCCUUAGGGGUCG